UGCCCUAGUAACGGCGAGUGAAGCGGCAACAGCUCAAAUUUGAAAUCUGGCUCUCGGGCCCGAGUUGUAAUUUGUAGAGGAUACUUUUGAUGCGGUGCCUUCCGAGUUCCCUGGAACGGGACGCCAUAGAGGGUGAGAGCCCCGUCUGGUUGGAUGCCAAAUCUCUGUAAAGUUCCUUCAACGAGUCGAGUAGUUUGGGAAUGCUGCUCUAAAUGGGAGGUAUAUGUCUUCUAAAGCUAAAUACCGGCCAGAGACCGAUAGCGCACAAGUAGAGUGAUCGAAAGAUGAAAAGCACUUUGAAAAGAGAGUUAAAAAGUACGUGAAAUUGUUGAAAGGGAAGCGUUUAUGACCAGACUUGGGCUUGGUUAAUCAUCUGGGGUUCUCCCCAGUGCACUUUUCCAGUCCAGGCCAGCAUCAGUUUUCCCCGGGGGAUAAAGGCGGCGGGAAUGUGGCUCUCUUCGGGGAGUGUUAUAGCCCACCGUGUAAUACCCUGGGGGGGACUGAGGUUCGCGCAUCUGCAAGGAUGCUGGCGUAAUGGUCAUCAACGACCCGUCUUGAAACACGGACCAAGGAGUCGUCUUCGUAUGCGAGUGUUCGGGUGUCAAACCCCUACGCGUAAUGAAAGUGAACGCAGGUGAGAGCUUCGGCGCAUCAUCGACCGAUCCUGAUGUUCUCGGAUGGAUUUGAGUAAGAGCAUACGGGGCCGGACCCGAAAGAAGGUGAACUAUGCCUGUAUAGGGUGAAGCCAGAGGAAACUCUGGUGGAGGCUCGCAGCGGUUCUGACGUGCAAAUCGAUCGUCAAAUAUGGGCAUGGGGGCGAAA
rnacentral:rRNA from 1 species